rnacentral:rRNA from 1 species
AGAGCGAACGCUGGCGGCAGGCCUAAUACAUGCAAGUCGAACGGAUCCUUCGGGAUUAGUGGCGGACGGGUGAGUAACACGUGGGAACGCGCCCUUCGGUUCGGAAUAACUCAGGGAAACUUGAGCUAAUACCGAAUACGCCCUUACGGGAAAGAUUUAUUGCCGAAGGAACGGCCCGCGUCCGAUUAGCUAGUUGGUGAGGUAAUGGCUCACCAAGGCUACGAUGGGUAGCUGGUCUGAGAGGACGAUCAGCCACACUGGGACUGAGACACGGCCCCAGACUCCUACGGGAGGCAGCAGUGGGGAAUCUUGCGCAAUGCGCGAAAGCGUGACGCAGCAACGCCGCGUGGGGGAAGAAGGCUUUCGGGUUGUAAACCCCGUUUCAGUUGGGACGAAGCUUCGCCGGUGAUAGCCGGCUGGAGUGACGGUACCUUCGAGAAGAAGCCCCGGCUAACUACGUGCCAGCAGCCGC